rnacentral:lncRNA from 1 species
UCAUUUUGUAUUGAAUUGCUUUGAUUGUACAUGUUGGUGGACCCUUGGGCGGAUAGGGGAGGUGUUGUCCGUUCGGCGUCUGUUGACGUGCCCGAACUGACCAAAUUGGCGGUAGCGGGGCGUGAUAGGUCGGAUUGAGUUUGAGUGCUAAGUUUAAUGACAUGGCGGUCGGUUUGAAUUUUGGUGUUUAGUUUACUGACAUGACGGUCAGAUAUUUAGUUUAACGGCUUGAUGGUCAAAUAUUCAGUUUAACGACUUGAUGGUCAUAUCUGAAUUUGAUUUACUUAGUUUAGCGACUUGGCGGUCGAUUGAAGUUGAGAUGCUUAGUUUAGCGACAUGGCGGUCGAAAGGGUUUGAUUAGAUUGCUUAGUUUAACGACUUGGCGGUCAAAUGUUCAGUUUAAUGACUUUAUAAUCAUUUGUUCAGUUUAACGACUUGACGGUCAUAUCUGAACUUGAUUUGCUCAGUUUAGCGACUUGGCGGUCGAUUGAAGUUGAGAUGCUCAGUUUAGCGACAUGCGGUCGGUUUGAGUUAAAUCGCUCAGUUUAAUGAUAUAGCGGUCAAUUGAAGUUGAGAUGCUUAGUUUAGCGACAUGGUGGUCGGUUUGAGUUGUGGUGCUCAGUUUAAUGACAUGGCGGUCGAUUGAGUUUUAGAUGCUCAGUUUAGCGACAUGGUGGUCGGUUUGAAUUUGGUACUUAGUUUACCGACAUGGCGGUCAGAUGUUCAAUUUAACGACUUGAUGGUCAAAUAUUCAGUUUAACGAUUUGAUUGUCAUAUCUGAAUUUGAUUUGCUCAGUUUAGCGACUUGGCGGUCGACUGAAAUUGAGAUGCUCAGUUUAGCGACAUGGCGGUCGAUUUUAGUUAAGUCGCUCAGUUUAACGACAUGGCGGUCGGCUUGAGUUGAGUAUCUUAGUUUAACGACAUGGCGGUCGGUUUGAUUGGUUUUUUAGUUUAGCGACUUUGUGGUCGUUUGAUUUUGAGUUUAUUUUAACGACUUUACGGUCGUUUGUAUUUGGUUGUUUAGUUGUCACG